GGUCAUACAGCUUAGGCAUAAGCUUUGAAAUCCCACAAAUCUGGGUUCAAUUCCCAGUGUGGCCA
rnacentral:tRNA from 1 species